UGCGUAGGGUGCGAGCGUAAAUCGGAAUUACUGGGCGUAAAGCGCACGUAGGCGGUUUUUUAAGUCAGAUGUGAAAGCCCCUUGCUCAACCUGGGAAUUGCAUUUGAAACUGGGAAACUAGAGUGUGUGAGAGGGGGGUAGAAUUCCAAGUGUAGUGGUGAAAUGCUUAGAGAUUUGGAGGAAUACCAGUGGCGAAGGCGGCCCCCUGGCACAACACUGACGCUCAGGUGCGAAAGCGUGGGGAGCAAACAGG
rnacentral:rRNA from 1 species